AAUGGGUAGAAAAGUUAUUAUUCUUAAACAGAAAGACGAUAUCGCUGGUAGUAGUAGAAAAAGAAGAACUGCGGCAGUUGAAAAAGUGUCAAAAAGAAAGAAAAAUUGAAGAGUCGAUGUUCGAAUCAGAUUCGGAGUUAAAGGAGAUAAGCAACUACGUCGAUUCUAAUGAAGAUGUUUGCCAAGCGGAGUGUCAAUUGUGACAGUAAAGAGUGCGAAUGAAGUGGGCGUAAUAGUGAUGAUGGGGAUAAUGAUUCGUUGUCUAUGCCAUAUCUUUCAAGGUGUAUUUUCGUGGAGCGGUAUGACCUUCGAACGAUAAUUGACGAUGUCGGAUCUUUCCCGACAAAGAUAUCGAUCAGAUCAAGAAUAGCUGCUUAUCGAGAAUUUAAGCAAAUUCUUGUCGACCAAGAAUUGAAGAAAAGAUUCAAGCGGUCCUGUUUUGGACACCUGAGGAACCUGCUGGAACAUCUCAAGUUCAAUGGGCAGUUGGUCCAUUAGUUGCUGUUGCGACGCGGUAAGAAUGAUAAGAUGCGUCAUGAGAUGUGGUUCUGCGUUAACAAGCCUGUCUGUUUUGGCUUGAAAAAGUUUUAUUUGAUCACGGGGCUGAACUGCUUAUCAUACCCCAGUGAAUAAAAAAUGAAGAAGGUGUUAGAAAAGGGGGACAAUUUUGUUUUAAGGUGACAAAAAAUAAAAACAUCACGGCGGCCAACUUAUUACACCUAAUCAGAGGGAAUAAACUGAACGAGAACCAGAAGUUGAAGUGUUGUCUACUGUGGUUCUUGCACACCAUGUUGUUGGCGAAAGAUUCGAUGAAGGUUGUCAACACAAAAUUGAUUCGAAUGGUCGACUCUUUGAGUUUCUUCGAGAAGUAUUCGUGGGGGAAAGAGACAUUUCAAUUGACCAUGGACUAUCUGAAGAAGAAAAGUGACCUGAAGAAGCAGAAGGAAGUAUUUGAUGAGAAACAGAAGGCAUCCUAUGCUUUAUUCGGAUUUCCUUGGGAAUUCAUGAUUUGGAUCUAUGAGGCCUUUCCUCAUCUUGGAUAAUUUGUUGGAAAAUCAAUGGAUGAGCCCUUACCCAUCCCCCGCAUCCUCAGAUGACACACUUCAAAAAGCGGCAAGAUAAUCGAAGGCGACCUAUUCAAGUAUAAAGGAAAAGUUAUCGAGGUAUGAACUUAUUUUCUAUAAUGCAAUAAGAGUACCGUUUUAUCGAAUGUUAUGUAAUUGUUAAUUGAUAGUUGGUAGAACGUGCACCCGUACAUCAUCCCUACUGUUCGUGAGACGAAGAUGGAUUACAUUAUUACGUUUGAGCCAUAUACGGAGAGGUGAAGAAUAACAUCCUCGAUGGCUUGAAGAAAGAGUUAGAAGGGGUGACUGUUCUCACGUCAAAUGAGGACAGUGAUGAUGACGGGGAUUUUGGUGGUAACCUCGUUGGAGUACGCGUUGGUGAUCUUCAUAAGCGUGUGGCUGCGCUCGAGGAAGCGGUGUUGGGUAUUGCUGCCUAUAUCAAAGAGAAAAGAAUGAAGAAAAAGGAAAAUGAUGAGCGACAACAUGAGCGAGGCAACUUCAUUCAUUUAUUGAUGUUGUUAAUGAAUAUUCAGCUUUAAAUAUCAGUAACACUUUGUAAUAUUAUGAAGUAGUGCAUGCGCAUGUAUUGGAGAGGAAUGAAGAAGGAGAAAAAAGAGCAAAAUGGAUGAGUUAGCCACUGUUGUGGCAGAAGAGGAAAAAGAAGGAUGAUGAAGAAGAUAAGAGCCAAGAAGAAGGUGGAAAAGUAGCAGAAGUGGCAAAAGAUGAACAAGGAGGCGCGGAAAAAGAAAAAACUGUUGUUGAAGAAGUUGACAAAGAAGAAGUUGAGCAAGAAGCAGGUGAACGAAAAGAAGAAGCUUGGGACGAAACAGCUGCUAAAGCUGAGGAAAAAACAGCUGCUGCAGGUGAAGUAAGAAAAGAAGAUGUGGAA